rnacentral:lncRNA from 1 species
CAGGCCAUGGACAUUCCCCAUGGCCUUCAGUGGUAACAUGGGCCAUGAGCAUCACCAUGGCCUUAGGCACAGGGCAUGUACAUCAGCAUGGUCUCUAGCAUCAACAUGGCCCACAGAAUCAACAUGGUCUCCAGUGUGACUACAGACCAUGGACACCUUCAUGGCCCUCAGUGGCAGUACAGGUCAUGGACAUCAACAUGGUCUCCAGCAGCAACAAGGCCCCUGACAUCAGCACAGCUUCAGGCUUAAGAAGAUUUGAUCAGGCCAAAGAAAGAAUGAAAACUAGCAAGGCAAAACCAAACCUUGUAGUUCAUGACAUCUGGGACUUGUGGUGACAUCAUUGCAGCACUGAACAAAAGUCCAGACCUAAUUUACUUGAUGAAGAUCACAAAGCAAUUUUGCUACUCUCCAGUGGCCAAGUACAUUCUUCUACAAUUUUAUGAAAUAAAAUAA